AGUGAACGCUGGCGGUAGGCCUAACACAUGCAAGUCGAACGGCAGCACAGUAAGAGCUUGCUCUUACGGGUGGCGAGUGGCGGACGGGUGAGGAAUACAUCGGAAUCUACUUUUUCGUGGGGGGUAACGUAGGGAAACUUACGCUAAUACCGCAUACGACCUACGGGUGAAAGCAGGGGAUCUUCGGACCUUGCGCGAUUGAAUGAGCCGAUGUCGGAUUAGCUAGUUGGCGGGGCAAAGGCCCACCAAGGCGACGAUCCGUAGCUGGUCUGAGAGGAUGAUCAGCCACACUGGAACUGAGACACGGUCCAGACUCCUACGGGAGGCAGCAGUGGGGAAUAUUGGACAAAGGGCGCAAGCCUGAUCCAGCCAUACCGCGUGGGUGAAGAAGGCCUUCGGGUUGUAAAGCCCUUUUGUUGGGAAAGAAAAGCAGCAGGUUAAUACCCCGCUGUUCUGACGGUACCCAAAGAAUAAGCACCGGCUAACUUCGUG
rnacentral:rRNA from 1 species